rnacentral:pre_miRNA from 1 species
UUUAAGUACAGCCAUGGUUUUCCGCGUCCAACUUUAACCGUCCGUCUUAUUUAAAAAAAUUAAAAAAUUAAAAAUAUAAGUCACGAGUAAAGUAUUAUUUAUGUUUUAUCAUCUCAUAACAACAAAAAUACUAAUUAUAAAAAAUUUUCAAAUAAGACGGACGAUAAAAGUUGGACGUGGAAACUUAUGGUUACACUUAAA